rnacentral:tRNA from 1 species
GGAAGGCUGGCAGAGAGGAUUAUUGCACUUGUUUCGAAAACAAGCAAUUUUUUAUUAAAUUAGAUUCGUGGGUUCAAAUCCCACGCCUUCCA